UCUUCGAUGCGCGAGGAUCUCAAUUUUUACUGGAAUAUUGUUUGAUCAUUUUUCCCAGUGUCAACGGUACGCGACUCGAGAAAAAUUUCAGCUGCAAUUUUGUUUCGUCGAUUAUACAAUACCUCGUGCGACCGAUAUUUUAGCGGACGAAGGCAGCCGGAAAGGAUCGAAAGUGACGCGGCUGUAAAACCUAGGCUGCAACAACAUGGGAUAUAUUCUCAAAUGGAAAUGACUUUUUGAACGUGGGUCGCAUGUAUUUUGGCAUAUCCGAUAGGAGGAAAACGAAAAAAUACAUAUCUUCGAACUGACAAAUAAAUUUUCAUAUACGAGUACA